CCUACGGGAGGCAGCAGUGAGGAAUAUUGGACAAUGGGCAGAAGCCUGAUCCAGCCAUGCCGCGUGCAGGAAGACGGCCCUAUGGGUUGUAAACUGCUUUUAUACGGGAAGAAUAAGGGACACGUGUGUCCUGGUGACGGUACCGUAAGAAUAAGGACCGGCUAACUCCGUGCCAGCAGCCGCGGUAAUACGGAGGGUCCGAGCGUUAUCCGGAAUUAUUGGGUUUAAAGGGUCCGCAGGCGGGCAAUUAAGUCAGGGGUGAAAUGCUACGGCUCAACCGUAGCACUGCCCUUGAUACUGGUUGUCUUGAGUCAUAGUGAAGUGGCCGGAAUAUGUAGUGUAGCGGUGAAAUGCAUAGAUAUUACAUAGAACACCGAUUGCGAAGGCAGGUCACUAACUAUCGACUGACGCUGAUGGACGAAAGCGUGGGGAGCGAACGGGAUUAGAUACCCCGGUAGUCCACGCCGUAAACGAUGGAUACUAGCUGUCCGGCACCUUGAGUGCUGGGCGGCCAAGCGAAAGUGAUAAGUAUCCCACCUGGGGAGUACGUUCGCAAGAAUGAAACUCAAAGGAAUUGACGGGGGCCCGCACAAGCGGUGGAGCAUGUGGUUUAAUUCGAUGAUACGCGAGGAACCUUACCAGGGCUUAAAUGCAUAAUGACAGGUCUAGAGAUAGACUUUUCUUCGGACAUUUUGCAAGGUGCUGCAUGGUUGUCGUCAGCUCGUGCCGUGAGGUGUCAGGUUAAGUCCCAUAACGAGCGCAACCCCUGCCGUCAGUUGCCAGCAAGUAAAGUUGGGGACUCUGACGGGACUGCCGGUGCAAACCGCGAGGAAGGUGGGGACGACGUCAAAUCAUCACGGCCCUUACGUCUGGGCUACACACGUGCUACAAUGGCCGGUACAGCGAGCAGCCACUCCGCAAGGAGGAGCGAAUCUAUAAAACCGGUCACAGUUCGGAUCGGGGUCUGCAACUCGACCCCGUGAAGCUGGAAUCGCUAGUAAUCGGAUAUCAGCCAUGAUCCGGUGAAUACGUUCCCGGGCCUUGUACACACCGCCCGUCAAGCCAUGGAAGCCGGGAGUGCCUGAAGUCCGUCACCGCAAGGAGCGGCCUAGGGCAAAAUCGGUAACUAGGGCUAAGUCGUAACAAGGUAACC
rnacentral:rRNA from 1 species